GACGAACCGUGCAAACGUUGUUCGGAAUCACUGGGCUUAAAGGGCGCGUAGGCGGGCAGGCAAGUCGGAGGUGAAAGCCCGCGGCUCAACCGUGGAAGUGCCUUCGAUACUGCAUGUCUAGAGGGAGGUAGGGGCGUGCGGAACUUCCGGUGGAGCGGUGAAAUGCGUAGAUAUCGGAAGGAACACCGGUGGCGAAAGCGGCACGCUGGAUCUCUACUGACGCUGAGGCGCGAAAGCCAGGGGAGCAAAC
rnacentral:rRNA from 1 species